GACGAACGCUGGCGGCGUGCCUAAUACAUGCAAGUUGAGCGCUGAAGGUUGGUACUUGUACCAACUGGAUGAGCAGCGAACGGGUGAGUAACGCGUGGGGAAUCUGCCUUUGAGCGGGGGACAACAUUUGGAAACGAAUGCUAAUACCGCAUAAAAACUUUAAACACAAGUUUUAAGUUUGAAAGAUGCAAUUGCAUCACUCAAAGAUGAUCCCGCGUUGUAUUAGCUAGUUGGUGAGGUAAAGGCUCACCAAGGCGAUGAUACAUAGCCGACCUGAGAGGGUGAUCGGCCACAUUGGGACUGAGACACGGCCCAAACUCCUACGGGAGGCAGCAGUAGGGAAUCUUCGGCCAUGGACGAAAGUCUGACCGAGCAACGCCGCGUGAGUGAAGAAGGUUUUCGGAUCGUAAAACUCUGUUGGUAGAGAAGAACGUUGGUGGGAGUGGAAAGCUCAUCAAGUGACGGUAACUACCCAGAAAGGGACGGCUAACUACGUG
rnacentral:rRNA from 1 species